GAUGAAGAACGCAGCGAAACGCGAUAAGUAAUGUGAAUUGCAGAAUCCAGUGAAUCAUCGAAUCUUUGAACGCACAUUGCGCCCGCCAGCAUUCUGGCGGGCAUGCCUGUUCGAGCGUCAUUUCAACCCUCGACCUCCCCUUGGGGAGGUCGGCGUUGGGGACCGGCAGCACACCGCCGGCCCUGAAAUGGAGUGGCGGCCCGUCCGCGGCGACCUCUGCGCAGUAAUACAGCUCGCACCGGGACCCCGACGCGGCCACGCCGUAAAACACCCAACUUCUGAACGUUGACCUCGAAUCAGGUAGGACUACCCGCUGAACUUAAGCAGAUCAAUAAGCGGAGGA
rnacentral:misc_RNA from 1 species